AGUAACCUGGAGUGUUCGAUAAGCCUGUUUAUUUUACUUCCACAAUCUGACAUAAGGGAUUUCAAUAUUUGUGAUGCGGAUGCCGGGCCGUCUUCGAACGGAUGGCUGAAGCGGUCCUUGAGAGAACCCACCUGGCCUUCGGCUGGGAGUCACUGACGGGCUUGACGGCACUCUGGGGUUUGU
rnacentral:other from 1 species